GGACAUAUCAAAUUGAACUUCCUGUUCCCGUACGAUCACCGAAGUUAAGCAACGUCGAGCCUGGUCACUGCCUAGAUGAGUGACCGCUUGGAAAUACCAGAUAUUGUAAG